GUGAGGUGGCUCAGUGGGUAAGAGCACUAACCGUUCUUCUGAAGGUCCCGGGUUCAAAUCCCGGCAAGUACA
rnacentral:tRNA from 1 species